CCCCUAGAUGUUCUGGGCCGCACGCGCGCUACACUGAACAGUUCAACAAGUCUUAACCUUGGCCGAUAGGUCUGGGUAAUCUUUGAACGCUGUUCGUGAUUGGGAUAGACCUUUGCAAUUAUGGGUCUUCAACGAGGAAUUCCUAGUAAACGCAAGUCAUCAGCUUGCAUUGAUUACGUCCCUGCCCUUUGUACACACCGCCCGUCGCUCCUACCGAUUGGGUGAUCCGGUGAACUACUCGGACCUAGGAUGAGGAGAAAUCUGAGUCCAUGGAAAGUUUCGUGAACCUUAUCACUUAGAGGAAGGAGAAGUCGUANCA
rnacentral:rRNA from 1 species